AUGGAAGAAAUGAUGUGUGGGGGUGUGAGGGUUUAUUGUUGGGUGUUAAUAAUAGUUGAUGACAUGGCGGAACUUGAUUGGAUGUUGUGAGUGAUGAGUGAGUGAUGAGUGAUCACCACCCUCUCCCCCUAAAGGUUACCGUUUAUCAGCAAUAAGAACACUACCCUAAUUAUAAAAAUGUGCAUGUAGUAAAUUUAUAACUAGAAAGUUCAAGUAAUUAGUAAGGCAACAGCCAACAAGAAAGAAGAUUUAUAAAGCUUACUGCUUCAGGAUAAAUACGUUGAGACAUUACGUCGCCACGAUUGAGCAAGCCGUCAACGUUGAGCUCGUUAGAUGGUCUGGGACUGUUUAGGAAAAGCCAUUGACUCGUCUCAACGUUUCUACAGUUGGGACAUCGCAUCUCUCCCUUCGCACUAAAUUCGUGAUGAAUGCAAUCUAUACCAAACACAAUAGAAACACAAGUUACAUUGACAUAAAUGAAGCAUGUAGACAUUUCAAAAUCCCUAGAUCUAUGUUUGGCAUGAAUUCAUUCAUCUAAUUCUUGAAAUGAUCAAAAACUACUAAAAAAGCGUUUUGGGCAAGUAAAUGAUUUUGUUUUUUUAUAGAUGUUUAUCCAGGGGUUUGGCAAUAAGACCAUUACUAUUUUUCCAUUUUGUUAAUCUCUAAACACCUGAAAGAAGGUAAUUAAAUCAUGUUAAAUAUCUUUUUCAAUUGAAUUUUAGUUGCUAAACAAAUCAAAUCCUUAGCGGGUUGUGAUACAAUUAAUAAACAUAAAGAUAAUAAUUAC
rnacentral:lncRNA from 1 species